AGAGAGGUGGCCGAGUGGCUGAAGGCGCACGCUUGGAAAGCGUGUUUAUGGUAACAUAACGAGGGUUCGAAUCCCUUCCUCUCUG
rnacentral:tRNA from 1 species